rnacentral:rRNA from 1 species
AAGCAUAUCAAUAAGCGGAGGAAAAGAAACCAACAGGGAUUGCCCUAGUAACGGCGAGUGAAGCGGCAACAGCUCAAAUUUGAAAUCUGGCUUCGGCCCGAGUUGUAAUUUGCAGAGGAUGCUUCUGGCGCGGUGCCUUCCGAGUUCCCUGGAACGGGACGCCACAGAGGGUGAGAGCCCCGUAUGGUCGGACACCAAGCCUGUGUGAAGCUCCUUCGACGAGUCGAGUAGUUUGGGAAUGCUGCUCUAAAUGGGAGGUAAAUCUCUUCUAAAGCUAAAUACCGGCCAGAGACCGACAGCGCACAAGUAGAGUGAUCGAAAGAUGAAAAGCACCUUGAAAAGGGGGUUAAAUAGUACGUGAAAUUGUUGAAAGGGAAGCACUUAUGACCAGACUUGGGCCGGGCGGCUCAUCAGGGGUUCUCCCCUGUGCAUUCCGCCCGGCACAGGCCAGCAUCGGUUUUCGCGGGGGGAUAAGACCGGCGGGAACGUAGCACCCUCCGGGGUGUGUUAUAGCCCACCGGACGAUACCCUCGCGGGGACCGAGGUCCGCGCUCCGCAAGGAUGCUGGCGUAAUGGUCAUCAGUGACCC